ACGGUCACGUUGUCCCUCUAGGGGCACGCGGCACCGUCAUAGGUCUGCAGCCAGCAUCACAGCCCUCCGACAUCCUUUACGACGUGGCUUUUGACGAAGCCUUUCCUGGGGGCCUGACACUUUCGGGCGCUGGAUCCGCCUUCCGCUGCUACAGACUCCGCUGGUCUGACUUUAUUAAUCUCUCCGCCGAACCUCCCAACCCGGAAGAGCUGUCGCCCCUGACACAGUCCAGACAAUCGGUGCCCGAAGCUCGACGAGGGAUCGUGAAGCCUGAACAGCUGCUGCGGGGCCAGCCUAAUGCGGGAGGGGCUUCUCAACACAACUACUACCCUAGCAACGGGGAAGUAGUCUUGGGUGAACGGAGACAGACGAUAAGCACACGGGCGAAUUGUGAUGAUUGGAGGAAGUCUAGCGUCAUUACCGACUAUAAUGACAAUUACCUCAGCGAACGAUAUAAACAGCAACAAAAUGACGGCAAUAGCGUCACAAACGACAACCGGCACCUCAAACAGCCACAAAAUGACGACAAUAGCGUCACAAACGACAACCGGCACCUCAAACAG